UGAAGGGUUUUGAAGAACAGCUGGGUACUGAAAUCAAGCCCAUUCCCAGCAGUAUUGAUAAGAGUCUAUAUGUGGCCGAGUACCACAGUGAGAGUGGAGAGGAUGUUAAACUGUGAGCAGGAGAGAUCACCAAUCCUUUGUCCCCUAUCCCCCCCUUUUUUCCUUCCCUACUGUGUCUUGGGAAUAGGGGAUUUUUUUUUUGUUUGUUUGUUUUUGUUUAAACUAUAUCUUCCGUCUGUCUUCCUUUCCCCCCACUUUUUUUUUCUUGCUUGUUUGGUGCCACCACAAGGAAUGUGAUGUUGCGACGGCCCAAUAAUCGGGACGGACUCAUGGCCUAAUAAAGGACUGCUGCACUGAUAUUUUCUUCCUGAAGACUUCAAAUCAUUUGAGGAGGGAAAGAGGGGACAUGAGGAUUUAUCACCCAAGAAAAAAAGACUACUCAUCGCCUGCAAGCACAUUAUCACCCCACUCUCUCUCUGUUCCUCUGCUCAUCUUCAUGUUUCUAGUCAUUUGAAACAAGUGCCUUAACAAGCAGUCUAACUUGUUCAAAAAGUAAUAACCUGAUGUUUUUUUUUUUUAAUUUUUUUUUUUUCUCUCUCUCCCCUCAUUACUCAUUUGAAGACAUGGUCUUGAUCUUUCUCUGGCCCUCCCGUUUGACAUCAGAAGAAUAAUUUUGGAUUUGCCACCUGUAGAUAUCCGGGUGAUGAAGAACAGGAUUUCACAGUGGGAGAGAGGAUGGGGUGGCAUGUGCGAUUUGUGCAGUCUCUGGCGUACUUGACUAUAGUGUGAAGAGAAGCCCCCUGGAGAACUGAGAUGAUAUCAGUGGGCAUAAUGACAAUGAUGGGGCUAAUGUUCCUGUGGCAAGCUUUCAAAAGUCCCACAAGGCUCCCAAUGGCUUUUUCCUUCAUCUGCUCAUGGAACAUACCAUGCCUCUAGAGACCCAUAACUCUUUCCCCCUCUGUCUUCAGUGGGCCAACACUAAGAGACUUGACCAGACUCAGACCAGCCUUUCUCCUUGGCCAUGAGGACUCCUGCUUUGAGAUGAAUGUGGACUUCUUUGUCUUUGUUUUUUUUUUUUUUUUUUUCUCUUCCCCUUACCACCUGAUUUCCGUGCAGUUUUGCAUUGUUAUUGGGUAGGCACUCUGUCCUAAAUGUGCCAUUUAUACAGAUCUGGCACAAUGUAAACAUUUUUGUAAAUACUUCAUUUUUUUUUUUUAAUGGAUUGUUUUAAAACAAGCAAAAAAGGCUGGAUGACCAUUUGAGGAGAAUGUUGAAGAUCUUUUGAAAAAAAUCAGGGUUCUGUCAGCACUGGGCGGCACUUAUUUAGUUUAUGCCCUUUUUUCCCUCAAUGGGAAAUAAGUUUAGCAGAGUUUAAACCUUUCCAGGCAGUGUACCACCCUUGUUUUGUUAUAUAAUUUUUUUUUUUUAAUCCAAAAAAUACUUUGUUCAAAUUUGAGUGUAAGUUUCUAAGAGUUUAGGCAGGUGGUACAGUUGUUCAGAUUUGCACUUCACUCUAAAUUAUUAACAUUACCCAGUGUUGACAAGAGUCCCUGACAUGGGUUGCUCAAAUAAAUGGCCUCAUUUAAAGGUUGUGAAAACAUGAGGCUUAUUUCCUUUCCAGCCUUUUGCUUGUAACACUGACAUAUGAGUCACUCAGCAGAGUCCCCUAGCCCGGGUGACUCUAAACAUAGAGGUAAUUUAAUAUUAUCGUCAUGUAAUAGUGCUACUCGCUGCAGUGCAGCUCAAAUUGGCAACGUUCAAAAAUGUUGAAUUUAUAAGCGAGAUGUGUAGCUGUUACAUGGGUCUGUGUGUUUCUGCCACUGGCACUAGGACAUGACUUUAAACAGACCGUUUGGAGGUUGGCGGAUACAAAAAAGGCUUGGAUGUUCAUAUUGGAAAAAGAAAAAAUGGACAAAAAAAAACUGGAUGCCAACACUUCUAAACGAUGGACUGACAUAAUGUAGCGGCAGAAACAUGCAGUGCAUCGUGAGUCAGCAGGCUUUUUUUUUGUAACAAGACCGUGUUCUUGAGAUGCUGCACAGAUUUAACAGAAGAAUCUAAACCUUUGCAGUGUGGGCUGCACUUAAGUUUGAACUUUAGUUCAAGGGUUGGGCAAUAAUAUGGGCUGCACAUGAUUUGGGAGCACUUCCUCGGUUAGGGCAGAGGUGUACAGACUGAAAAGGAGAUUUUAGUUUUUCCUUUCUGAGGAAGCAUUGUGGUAGGGACAAGGGUAUUUAACAUGGGGUCUGGGGAUUUCAUGGGUGCUGAUAACCAAAUUAUUAUUUUUUUUGCAGCAGCAGAAUAUUUAUCCCCCUCCCCCCAAACACUAAUAGCCUUUUUUUUUUAUUUUCCCUGUUUUUGGGGAUUGAUAGGGGCUUGCUUGAGACACUUUAGCCCUUCUGCUGCUUUUUGAAUAAGUUAUGCAUUUUGACCCAUGAUGUUUUGAGGGUUGCAACUUUGUGGGGUGGGAGGUUGGGAGGGAUACAGUUUAGCCUUUUUUUGUGAUUUAUUGGCACAGAAGUUACUUAAUUUUACGUUGGGAGUUUAACAUCACCAACGUCCCCAUUUUAAAGUAAAAUACAGGUGAGUUUUUUUUUUAUUUUUUAUGGAUUGGCUUUGUCUACUGUGGCAUGUUGCUGUUAGUUUUCCCUAAUUCAAUUACCAAAUUCUGAGCAAAGGUUAUUUAUCCCAUAUUCUAGAAAAAUGCAACCUUUUCCCAGUGACAUUGCUUGAAUCCAAGCUUGUAUUCUCUUCUCUAUAGUACAUACCCCACAGUGUGUACAUCACGGGUCUAAUCCCCUUUGGUCUCUUUUGGGAGAUUUUAAACAUCUGCCCAUAGAGAGGAGUAUACGAGUUACUGGGCUCUUUGGCAGCAGCCCAGUGUUUUUCAGUAACCACUUGCCGUGAAAAUCACAGUUCGUUCUGAGAUGCUGUAAAGCAGCAUGUUAUUGGAUGUGCUGUGGUCUUUGCCGUGGGUGGUUGGGGUUUUGAUCUAAUUUUAGGUUUUGUUUUCUUUUUGUUUGUAAGAAUGGGGUGGAGAACAUCUCACCUGUUUAAGAAUUGUUUCCAUGCAAAAUUGUCAUCUAUAAAGUCCACUCCACUCAUUCUUCAAUGUGUUUAUUUUAUUGUUUUGUAUUUGGGUGGGUGGGAAGUUUUUUUUUUUUGGCUGCCCUGAUGUAUCUUUGUGAUUCUAACACUAUCCGUCUGUUCAGUGUUGGGAGAACAUGGAUACAUCAGUCUGGGUUAGUGGGAGGGAGGGAAAUGGAGAGAAUUGGUUUCAAAAAUUUCUAAAACAAUUUGGGAGUUCAGGGUAAGGAAAAUUUGAUCUGUAAACGUUGCCCUUAAAUUUGUGACUUACGUUUUUCCCUAAUUUUUGGUUACUGCAGAUUAAAAUGACCAACCAAAUUUAAGAAAUCAAAAAUGGUUUUCUUUUCUUUUUCUUUUUCAAUUUGGGCUAUUUCAAUUGGCAUUUGUCUCAGUGAUGCUACAAUUUUAAAGAUUUGAGAUGUGUGAAAAUGCAAUGGUUAACAUCUGUGGUGGUUUUUGUUUGAAAAUAAAGCACACUGAAGUUC